rnacentral:rRNA from 2 species
GGGUUGUGAGGUUAAGCGACUAAGCGUACACGGUGGAUGCCCUGGCAGUCAGAGGCGAUGAAGGACGUGCUAAUCUGCGAUAAGCGCCGGUAAGGUGAUAUGAACCGUUAUAACCGGCGAUUUCCGAAUGGGGAAACCCAGUGUGACUCGUCACACUAUCAUUAACUGAAUCCAUAGGUUAAUGAGGCGAACCGGGGGAACUGAAACAUCUAAGUACCCCGAGGAAAAGAAAUCAACCGAGAUUCCCCCAGUAGCGGCGAGCGAACGGGGAGGAGCCCAGAGCCUGAAUCAGCAUGUGUGUUAGUGGAAGCGUCUGGAAAGGCGCGCGAUACAGGGUGACAGCCCCGUACACAAAAGCGCAUGUGCUGUGAGCUCGAUGAGUAGGGCGGGACACGUGGUAUCCUGUCUGAAUAUGGGGGGACCAUCCUCCAAGGCUAAAUACUCCUGACUGACCGAUAGUGAACCAGUACCGUGAGGGAAAGGCGAAAAGAACCCCGGCGAGGGGAGUGAAAAAGAACCUGAAACCGUGUACGUACAAGCAGUGGGAGCACCCUUUGGGGUGUGACUGCGUACCUUUUGUAUAAUGGGUCAGCGACUUAUAUUCUGUAGCAAGGUUAACCGAAUAGGGGAGCCGGAGGGAAACCGAGUCUUAAUUGGGCGUUAAGUUGCAGGGUAUAGACCCGAAACCCGGUGAUCUAGCCAUGGGCAGGUUGAAGGUUGGGUAACACUAACUGGAGGACCGAACCGACUAAUGUUGAAAAAUUAGCGGAUGACCUGUGGCUGGGGGUGAAAGGCCAAUCAAACCGGGAGAUAGCUGGUUCUCCCCGAAAGCUAUUUAGGUAGCGCCUCGUGAAUUCAUCUCCGGGGGUAGAGCACUGUUUCGGCUAGGGGGCCAUCCCGGCUUACCAACCCGAUGCAAACUGCGAAUACCGGAGAAUGUUAUCACGGGAGACACACGGCGGGUGCUAACGUCCGUCGUGAAGAGGGAAACAACCCAGACCGCCAGCUAAGGUCCCAAAGUCAUGGUUAAGUGGGAAACGAUGUGGGAAGGCCCAGACAGCCAGGAUGUUGGCUUAGAAGCAGCCAUCAUUUAAAGAAAGCGUAAUAGCUCACUGGUCGAGUCGGCCUGCGCGGAAGAUGUAACGGGGCUAAACCAUGCACCGAAGCUGCGGCAGCGACGCUGAUGCGUUGUUGGGUAGGGGAGCGUUCUGUAAGCCUGUGAAGGUGGCCUGUGAGGGUUGCUGGAGGUAUCAGAAGUGCGAAUGCUGACAUAAGUAACGAUAAAGCGGGUGAAAAGCCCGCUCGCCGGAAGACCAAGGGUUCCUGUCCAACGUUAAUCGGGGCAGGGUGAGUCGACCCCUAAGGCGAGGCCGAAAGGCGUAGUCGAUGGGAAACGGGUUAAUAUUCCCGUACUUGGUGUUACUGCGAAGGGGGGACGGAGAAGGCUAUGUUGGCCGGGCGACGGUUGUCCCGGUUUAAGCGUGUAGGUGUGUGUUCCAGGUAAAUCCGGUUCACUUUAACACUGAGGCGUGAUGACGAGGCACUACGGUGCUGAAGCAACAAAUGCCCUGCUUCCAGGAAAAGCCUCUAAGCAUCAGGUAACAUCAAAUCGUACCCCAAACCGACACAGGUGGUCAGGUAGAGAAUACCAAGGCGCUUGAGAGAACUCGGGUGAAGGAACUAGGCAAAAUGGUGCCGUAACU